UACGUAGGUGGCAAGCGUUGUCCGGAUUUACUGGGCGUAAAGGGUAUGCAGGCGGGUUUUUAAGUAGAAAGUGAAAUGUAGGAGCUCAACUCCUGCACUGCUUUCUAUACUGGGAGCCUUGAGUGUCGGAGAGGAAGAGGGAACUGCACGUGUAGCGGUGAUAUGCGUUGAGAUGUGCAGGAACACCAAUGGCGAAAGCACUCUUCUGGACGACCACUGACGCUGAGAUACGAAAGCCAAGGGAGCGAAC
rnacentral:rRNA from 1 species